UUUACACUGUGCUAAGGUAGCAUAAUCACUUGUCUUUUAAUUAAAGAAUAGAAUGAACGGAAACCCGAAUUUUAGCCUGUUUCAUUUUUAUAUAAUAAAAUUACCAAAAAGUAAAAACUCUUUUUUUUAAAAAAAAGACGAUAAGACCCUACAGAACUUCACUAUAGUUUAGCUGGGGCGGCUUUUUAAAAAAAUCUUAUUUUAAAUUCUUAGAAACCUAAUUUUAUAUAAAGUUACCUUAGGGAUAACAGCAUAAUAUAAUUUUAUAGCUCAAAUAAAAAAUUAUGAUUAUGACCUCGAUGUUGAAUUAAAUCUCUUCUAAACGAAAAAAAUUAGUAAGAAAGUCUGUUCGACUUAUAAAAAUUUACA
rnacentral:rRNA from 1 species